GGUCUUUCUUUCUGUCUGUCUUUUAUUGGUCUCCUUUUUCUUAAUGCUUGUAUCACUAUCCUGUUCUUUUUUAUUAUUAUUUUUAAGGUUGUUUUGUGUCUUAAUUUUGUCAUUUUUCACAUCUUUGUUGUUGUUUUCAAAGUCUUUAACAUGUUUUGUCACUUUUCCAUUAUUAACCUGUUUUUUGUCACAUUGUGGUUGUUUUGUGUCUCAUUUUGACCAUUUUCUGUCAUUUUGUGUCUCAGUUUGAUCAUUUUCCGUCUCUUUGCUCUUGUUUUCCAUUUCUUUAAAAUGUUUUGUCACUUUGUGGUCAUUUUCUGUCUCAUUUUGGCCGUUUUUUGUCUCUUUGUGGUUGUUUUGUGUCUCAAUUUGGUCAUUUUUCAUGUCUUUUUUGUUGAUUUCAGUUUCUUUAACGUAUUUUUGUCAUUUUUGGGGUUGUUUUACAUCUUAUUUUGGUCACUUUCAGUCAUUUUGUGGUCUUUUUAUGUCUCAUUUUAGUCAUUUUGCAUAUCUAUCUAUCUAUCUUUUCUAACCUCUUUUUCAUCUUUUUGUUCAUCUCCAUCCUUUUCGUCAGUUUCUUUUUGCAUGUAUAACCGUAUUCUUUCUUUCUUUCUUUCUUUCUGUUGUUCUUUUUUCCGUCUCUCAUUUCCUCUUUUUCACCUCCAUCUCUUUCUUCUGUUUCUUCUUGCAUCACUGUUGUCUCUUUCUUUUUCUUCUUCACAUCUUCUCCUCCUCCUCUUCUUCUUUUUAUUCCUCCUCUUGUCCCACAUCUUCCUCACCCCUCUCAUCGUUUCCAAUCUCUCUCUGCUUUUUCCUCCUCCUCCUCCUCCUCCAUCUUUUCUUUUUUUCCACCUCUCCCCUGCGGUGUUGCAAUCACCUCUGCUGCUGUUGAUUAAGCUGAGAGAGAUUGGCUGUCCACGACCCAAUAACCCCUGAGGCCUCACCCCUCGCCUCCCCCGUCCUCCCCCAUCCAUCCCUGCAUCUGAGCCAGCAACAAUCCUUCAUUUCAUUUUCUCCUCUUUUCUCCUCCGUGAACCUGCUUUCAUCUCUUCCCAUCUCACCUUUUAUUCCUCCUCUUCUUCUUUCUCGUAUUUCUUCAUCUCACGUUUUCUGUAUUUUCCAGGAUUCUCUAUCUGCUCUCCACCUAUUUAUCUCUUCUUCUUCUCUACUGUCUUUGUUUCAUGUCGCCUUUUAAUUUCCUUCCUCCUCUCCUUUUGUUUUUUCUUUGUAUUUUUCUCUGGUCUACUUAUCUCACAUUUUGUCUUACCCCUUUUCCACUUAUUUCCUCUUUAUAUUCUUAUUUUAUCUGUUCUUUCUCUCUCGCUUCCUCAUUUAUGGGGUUUUCUCAUCUUCCUCUUCAAUCAUCUUCUUCUUUUUUCUCCUGUAUUUCUCCCCAAACCCCAUUUUAUCUCUUCUACCUUUCCUCCUUGUCUUUUUCUCAUAUCUCAUAACUCCUUUGAAGGAUUUAUAAGCUAGUAUUCACCAGAAAGGCCCCACAUCAUGAUGCUGCCACCACCAUGCUUCACAGUGGGGAUGGUGUCUAGUCUGAUGGCCAAAGAAAAGAAGAAAGAGACUAAUGAGGGAGGCCACCAAGACACCUAUGACUCUUCUGAGGGAUCUGCGAUGUAGAAACAUUAGGUUUCCACAACCACAAAGAAAUAAAAGUUAGCUCCUGGUCAUCGUUACAAAAUCAUAGUUUCCAAUCAUAGUUGGACUCAAGUAGAGGAACUAGAACCUAAAGCUCCAAACCUACGACUAUUGAACCCCAUUUUUCAAAAAGAAGUGCAUUUCAUUCACAAAAGAGAUCAAGAAAUCAAGACUUUAUUGUGUAAUUGUAGUUUACUACCUCAUAAUUAUAAGAAAAAACAUUGAAAUAUUAAAAUCUUGAUCCCUGAAUUCCAUUGAUACCUAAGAAAUCCUGAUAUCUGACUAUUGUCAAGCAAAGAUCUCAGUAUUAUGAGAUCUUGUCUUGUGUAGAGAUUCAUGAUUAUGAGCUACUGGUAAUAAAAACAUAUUAAUCUCACACAUGUAACCAACAGCUUUUCUAGAAGUUAAUUAACUGGUGAUGUUUGGAAAACCCACUCUUCUGGGUUGUAGUCCAUUACCUCAAGCCAUUUGGAUGCCAAAAUAUUGAAUCUGCUGCACAAAAGACAGUUUUUUGAACCCAUUUCCUGCAACUACAAACGCACUAAGUAGUCAUCUGGUUUAUUUUAAUUGAAAAGUCACUAAAAAAUGUAUUUAAAUCAAGAAAAGACAGUGUUUUCACCCCUUUUCCUGCAACUACAAACAUACUAAGUAGCCAGCUGGUUGCCUUCUUGAUUUUAAUUGGAAAACUAGUUCAAUUUUUGUCUUUCAGCCAGAAUAAAAGCAUUCUUUCUUCCACAUGAUUAGAAAAAUCUCUCCAGAGACGUCUUCAGAAGAGUAUAUAAACGGUCCUCUGGGUUUUUCCAUCUAUUGGCUGCUAAUUAUCUGAUUUUAACCUCUGCAGCCUGGAUAAACGUUAAGAUGAGCACAAACUGGGGAGUCGGUUGGUCGUUUGUGGAUUCGGACGACAACAUUGUAUAAAUGAGUGAAGGCUCAAGAACUGACAGGAAGUCAGAUUUACGAGGAUCACUGCUGUUUAUCUCCUCUGUGUCCUUCACGUCUUCCUUCUGCUACUUAAAUUCCUUCGCUUCCUUUGUUUUUUUCUUCCUCCCUGUUUGAUUCAUCUCAGCUUCUUCUAUCUUCUCUCUGUUCAGCAUCCUUUCAUUUCCAAUCCUUUGCUCUUUACUCUGACUGUGGCCCGUCGGCGCUGGUGUGUGUUGUGUUUCGUUGUGUGUUUUAUUGUGUUGUGGCGACUGCAGGCUGCUGGUAAUUGAAAAGCUGCGACGCCGCCGCCUUCCACCCCGUGACCUCCUGUUGAGAGACCAUUGAUUUCUACAGAGAGAAGAAGAAGAAGAAGAAGAAGAAGAGGGGGGACGCAGCGACGAAUAAGGUCCCAAUUGCAGGCAGAGAUAGAAACUGAAGGGAAACCACUGAAGAGGCUGAAAGAAAUCAGACAAACGAGGAGGUUUGGGGCAAAACGGAAUAAAAUCAUGACUACAUUCACAGGGAAGAGAAGUAAAAUUUUAAAUUGUAUUUCUAUAGCACAGAUUUGCAGAUUGUAAAAACAAACCUCCAAUAGAACCAGGCUCAGGGAAGGCGGCCAUCUGCCUCAACCGGUUGGGGUGAGAGUGGGGAAAAAAUGAAAACAAAUCCAGAAAGAUGGAACUCUAUUCCACUAAACACUGGAUUGAAGUGAUUUUUUUCUCUAGUUUGACUUCAUGAAAGUACCUUUGUUUUCCUGCUACUAAGAAAAAAACUGACAGAAUGACAAAGAUUCCUGCUGAAAUUAGCUAAUUAUCACGAUAGCUCGAUUGCAGCACCUGAGUUACAUGUUUAGUGCAGAACAGCAGCUCUGCAGACGAAAAUAUACCUCAAUCAAGAGUUAUUUAUAGUGCCACUCAUGAAUUAAACUAUUUGUUGUGUUGACAUCAAAAUGAAGACUUAUGUAUGCUCUCCAGGCUGAGGGGGCAAAAUUUAUAAUAAUUAUUUUCCCUCAUCAGUCUCCACAAAAUUACAUUGCUCUACAACUAAACUACAUUCUUAAAUAUGGAUUUUAUUCUGAAGUUAAUGUAAUUUGUGACCUGUGAUGUGGCGGGAAAGGUGGCCAUUUUGAAAGAACGACAAAAUGCAUGUUUGGAGGCAAAAACCAGCAACUGGACUUUCAUUUUUCAUUCCUUUUUGGUUUGUUUUAAGAAAAAAUGUCACACCUUGACACUUUUACGUGUCAGUAGGUUGGGCAGAGUUUGACAACAUUACUUGGUUUCAAAAUAUCUGCCGCAAGUGAAAUUGGUUUGUCCAAAAGCUAAAUUCUAAUUAGCAAGGCAAACUAAUUUUUAGCAUUUAGCACAUAAAUCAUUGGGCCCAACUUCAUCAACUUUGAGAAAAGAAAAACCUAUAAAUGGGAAUAUCUUGCAGACAUAAAGUCAGACUGUUAAUUUUUGGGGGGUAAAUGCUUCUACCAUUGUUGUUUUAUUUCUGGAAUUCGUGCUCAGAAGCUAACUGGACGUGCUCAGUUUGUCUUUAGCUAAUACUGCAUGAACACUUAGGUCAAGCUUGUUGACCUUAAUGUUCCUAAUCAAUAUUUAGAGUUUGAUGAAGUAACUUUAGCAUCAUCUUCAUUAGUUAUACAUGUUAGCAGCUUGGUUAAGGUUUGAAACCAACAUUACUUUGUUAGAGUUUGGAAAAAUGUCCUUGUUUUGGGUUAAAAUACUUUCUUUUGAUGUUUUUCCUCCAUGUUCACCAUGGUGACAAGUCCAUCUAGUAUAUGAUUGGUUGGCUGAAAAGGAAAAUGAAAAAAUAAUGCUGACAAGAAAGGUAUUUGCAAUUUGUAAACAUAAUCCUGCAGAAAAGAUGUUUCCUUCAAAACAUUAACAGUUUAGUUGCUUAAUUGUGGAGACUCGGUUGUUGAAAACAGGUCUUAAAAAUGAUCAAUAAUCAGCAAUAUGGGCUGAAAUUAAACGUUUUAUUGGGAUAAAUUUGUCAGCUACGUUGCACAGCUCUAGUUCACACUCUGUUUGAUCCAUUAUCACCAUUAAUGUGUCUGUUUACACUCAUAAUUUGGACCAAAAUGAUAAAAUCAAGUAGUCCUGGAUUAGCUUGUUAGCGUCCCUGUGUAUAUUCUAUAAACAUCCUUAAAGCAGUAAAGAAACGAUCUAUUUCCUGUCGUCCUGAUCCUCCCUGUGGUCCGGUCCGUCGCCGCCCGUUGUGCUAAUGAAGACCAACAUUUUACCACAGUUUAAAGUGACUCGCUCUCAGCUUUCCCACGCUUUGUCCUCCUUAUCGGCGUCUGACCCCCAGGUAAUAGAAAGACAAUGUCACAAGAUUAACGGCCACAGGAUGGACCGCUGUUUCCCUGGCAACGGGGCGAGGAGGAUGGGACGGAGUGAUUAAAACCGGUGGGGGGAAGAUGAAGAAGAAGAGGGGGAGGAGGGUUAAAGGGGAAGAAAGGUGGAUUGAUGAGAGGAGAUGGAUGCUGGAAUGAUUACGAAGAGAGAAAACAGAGCGGAGAGCCAAAGAGAAAAGAAUGAAGAGACAGAAGAGCUGAUGGAGUCAUUAAAGUCACACCGACGGACGGUUAGGAGGAAGAAAAGAACCGACACAAAAGGAAAAACGAUGGAGCAGAAGAUGGUAUAAACGUCUCUGAGGGGGAAAUUACUGGGCAGCGAGAAAUCGAGAAAAAGAUCAAAUAAAAGCGGAAAAGAAGCAUGUUGGCAAUCAAGAAGAUGCCAAAUUAACCGACUAAGACUGAAAAAUAGCAGGAAUUCUCAAAGUUUAACCCCCAACUGUGGCAUUUUCAAGAUAAAAAGUCAACAUAAUUAAACUAUACGAGUCUGAAACGUUUACAGACCAACACAACUAGUGGUUGGUUCAGGAUAUUUCAGAAAAACACCUGAAAAAAUUGAACUUUAGAUUAAAAUAUUACAUCAAAACACUAAUUUAAUUCUCCAAGAAAAGACUGGUCGCUAGUUAACAAGCAGCCAACAACCAACCCUUAGAAUCUAUAAAUGAUUGAUUAGCUAGUUCCUGCUUGACUGUUUGACUUCCUCAAAGCGCCAUCACCAACUAAAGAACCUCUUUUCUGAGGAGAUGCUUCUUCAUGGAGCUCAUGUGGUUCUUAAAUCUAUCAAACUUUCAUUCUUCAUUGAUUUAUCUUCUUUAGUGGAAGAUAACCAGUUAUUGUUAUUUUUUAAUUACCUGCAGAUUAAUUUCUCAAUCAAUUAAUUAAUAAAUUUGUCAAUAAAUUGUCAGAGAACAGUAAGAAAUGCUAGUUACAGUUUCCCAAACCCCAAGUGGACAUCUUUUUAUUCUGUCUGACCAACAGUCCAGAACUCAAAAUAACAAAAGGAGCGCAGAAAAAUUCUUGGUUGAUUUUUGCAGAUCCUGUCAUUAGAUAAGAUUAGAAGAAGAAGGCGAGUCCACAAAGAACUAUCUAGAACAGUGUUUCUCAACUGGUGGGUCGCGACCCAAAAGUGGGUCGCGGGGCCGUUUUUGGUGGGUCGCGAGCCUUUUUCUAAAAAGAACGAAAAAUAAAGAUAACCCAAUUUAGUGGCGAGUCAUUGUAGUUCCCCUCCGCACCCGCAGGGGGGUCGUCGUAUCAGCAGCGACCGGUGAGGACACUCGUAUUACUGUAGAAGAAACUGCAUGUUUUCAUAGCAACAGCAGCAUGGCUAAACGCAAGUACGACAGCGAGUACAUUAAAUAUGGAUGUUCCUACAUCGAAGACAAAGGAGUCCAAAAGCACGCAUCUGAAUAAACUUUUCGAGCGGUUUAACGACUACUUUCCCGAUAAACAACCCGAGGACGACUGGGUGCGCGACCCGUUUGGAAUAAACAUGGAAAGCAUCACGUUGCCUAGCAGCGAUGAAUGUCAGCUGGUGGAGCUAUCAUGUGACCGCACUCUCAGAAAGAAAUUCACAGAGAUGGUAUCGGACUCCCUUGGCAGCUCAAUCUCCACCGCCACUCUGCAAAUACUGCUUAGAACCAACUCGAGGAACACGACCAAGAGCCAAAGCGACUGAUGAAGCCUCCAAGUCUCAAGUAUCUGUGGGAUCCACAUGGAGAGCCCAAACCACAACCUACAGGAACUAAAGGAUUUGCUGCCAACUUUCAGCCCUGGUAUCCAUUACACAAAGGGCAUAUAAGUGCAGGGUAAGUAGUAAAGUCGCCCUUCAGCGUUCACUCCGCCGCUCGUGUGUGGCGCCACAUUCGGACGCUUUCGACACUCCGUCAUGAUGUUUGGAUUCACUCGUUCAUCAGCAGCGACGCCGUUAACGCGGCUGAAAUGUCACAAACCCUUUUAAUUCUGCCUCUGCAGCUCUGAAGCAGCUGAAAUCUACAGAAAAAAUGACUUUAUUUGAUGCAUUUGAUGUCAAAACUCAAUGAGAACUUUCCAGUGUGAGGCUAGAAUCUUAUAUAUUAUGUCUGAUACAUACUAUCUCACUAUUACUGCAAGUAUUUUUUGAUUCUACGUAUAUUUUAGCUUAAUUAUUUAAAAUUUUCUGUAACAUAUCACACAUAUCGUAUUGUAUUCUUCAUUGCACUGCAUUUUCCCAUUAAUUUUUUCUUUUGUUUUCUGAGCAACAUCCAGCCAAAAAAUUCCCCUCAGGAUCAUAACAUGAGUUAAAAUAAGAUAAAACUAAUAUUUAACCUCAGUAUAAUCACCAGUACUACUUUAUCCUGUUUUAUUCUCGCCUUAUUUUAGUUAUUUAUCUAUUUCAGUAUUGGAUCCUACUUAAAUCUAAUUGUUUACUGUUGGUCAUCACCUUUUUUUUGGUUUGUUUUCUGAGCAACAUCAGGCAAAAUAAUGUCCUUCGGGAUUAAUUAAGCUUAAUCUUUAUUCCUCUGAACGUGAAAUGCAUGUUAUCUUUAAAGAAAUCAUCAAAACUACAAUACUCAGAAAAACACUAAAUGACACGGAAUAAGAAAUGCAGCAGUGUGUACAGUGUAGGAAAAGAAAUAAAUAAAUAUGAUACAAUAACGAAAUCAAAGACAUAAGCUAAAAUCAUUCAGUUUUAUCUUAUCUCAUCGUAUUUCUUCAGAUCAUAUCUUAUCUUGUCUCAUUGUAUCUCGUGUCAUAUUGUAUCAUAUCUCAUCUCAUCGUGUCAUACCUUAUCUCAUCUCGUUGUAUCUCAUCUUGUCUCAUCAUAUCUUAUCCACUGUAUCUGAUAUCAUGUGCAAUAUGUCAUAUUGUGUCAUAUCUCAUCUUAUCGUGUCUUGUAUCAUAUCUCAUCUCAUUGUAUGUCAUCUUAUCUUAUGGUAUCAUAUCUCAUUGUAUCAUAUCUUAUUUUUCCUCACUGUAUCUCAUCGUAUCUCAUCUCAUCGUGUCAUACCUUAUCUUAUCUCAUCUCAUUGUAUCUCAUCUUGUCUCAUCAUAUCAUAUCUUAUCUCACUGUAUCUGACAUCAUAUUGUAUCAUAUCUCAUCUUAUCUCAUUGUAUGUCAUCUUAUUUCAUUAUAUCAUAUCUUAUGGUAUCAUAGCUCAUCGUAUCGUAUUUUCCCUCACUGUAUCUCAUCUUAACUCAUCAUAUUAUAUCUUAUCUCAUCUCGUAUCAUAUUGUAUCAAUCAAUCAAUCUUUAUUGGUCAUUGCACAUUUUCAUAUACAACGAAAUUUCAUUUGAGCUGCCCUGCCAAUGACAGCUCCGGCUGCUACGCAGUGCUGCGCGCACCUUUCUUGAAGAAAAAAAGAAAAAGGACAUGUUGGGAUCUGGGUAGGGAUAGCAGAGGGUAAAAGAAAAAAAUCAUAUCGUAUCGUAUCUCAUCUCAUCUUAUCUCAUUGUAUCAUAUCUUAUCUCAUCUUAUCUCAUCAUAAUAUAUCUUAUCUGAUCUGAUCUCGUAUCAUAUUGUAUCGUAUCUCAUCUCAUCAUCUCAUCUUAUCUCAUCACACCAUAUCUUAUCUCAUUGUAUCUCGUAUCAUAUUGUAUUGUAUGUCAUCUCAUCGUACCUCAUUUCAUCUUAUCACAUGGUAUCUCAUCAUAUCAUACCUUAUCUUAUCUCAUCAUAUCUCAUGUCUCAUAUUGUAUCUCAUCUCAUCGUAUCAUAUCUUUUGUUAUCGUAUCUCAUCUCAUCCCAUCUCAUCUUGUCUUAUCUUACCUUUAUUCCUCUGAAUGUAAAAAGCAUUUUUUCUUUUUAAAAAAACACCAAAAUUACAGUAUUUGCUGGGGCCAGAAACAGUGAAAAACUGCUAAAAAUAAACUGGAGCAACUUAUCUGUGAUGUUUUAUUAAUCUUAACAGAUAAAACUUUAUUAAUCCCAGAAAAAGUUCUUUUACCAGGUUUGGCUCAGAAAAAGUAAAAAUAACAUAAAAUAAGAAAUGCAGCAGUUUUUUAAAAGUAGAAAAAUGAUAAUAUAUGAGUACAAUACGGCUCUGAUAAACCUAGAAUAGAGGAGUAAACAGUAAAACUUUCAUUUAUACUGAGACAAUAUAGUAGAUAAUAAUAAAGUUUUAUCUUAUCUCAACCUUUUUUUCCCUCUAAAUGUAAAAAAUCAUCAAAACUGCAACAUUUAUCCACAGCCAGAAACAACUCCUCAGCCGUAAAUUUGACCUAAUAUAACUUUAUAAUCGUUACAUUUUAUCAAAAUGACUAAAAAUACUCCAAAAAUGAACCAUUCGCAACACAGCGGGGGAAAAAAUGUAAUUCUGCCAUCUGUACAGUUAUGAAACCUUCAGUGACUAAAAUUUGACCAACAGUAGAAUUCAGGGACGUCUCGGUUGAACUGCAGGCAGUGUUUUUACAGAAACGGGUAUAAAAUGAGGUAAAAACAUAAAUAGUAAAAUAUCUAUCCAGGUUUUUAUUGUGUCGGUCGCACCUGUGGGUGUUCUGGUUCCAUUUUCUUUAAAUUUUUGGUGAAAUGAGUAAAGAAAUUAAACUUGAGAUGCUAAAGUUCAGAGAAACACACUGGAUGCAUCAAAUCUAAGCACUCACAGUGUAGCACUUAGUGUGUGUGUGUGUGUGUGUGUGUGUGUGUGUGUGUGUGUGUGUGUGUGUGUGGUCAUACUUAAUGCACCACGAGGCUUUUUCCGUUUUGAAAAUCGGAGACAGAUCAACGGACCGAAGCUUCUCUGAGCAGAAACACAAACGAAUGAAUCUAUCAGACAAAUAAUCCUUUAAAUUCUGUUUUAACAGAAUCUGAUCAGAAAAAGGAGCAUCGAUUGAUUUAUUGAUUAUCAAUACGUGUUCUUUAGACUCUGAUGUGUUUAAAACAGGGACAAAUUCAUUACAAGGAGGUAAUCCUUGUUGAUUUUUGGUUGUUCAACAUUUUAAACUGUUAUUUUUUUUUAAACAAUUUACUUGUAUUUUACAGGUUUUUCCUUGUUUCGUUAAAUUACACAUAAUAUCUGGAAAAUCACAAGGAAAAAGGACUAAAUUUACACUUUAAGCAUAAAAAAUAAACUGGUGAAAAAUGUAAGUAAUAUCAAAAUUCUAAAAAGUAAUUUUAAAAAAUGUUAUUACUCUUCUAUUUCUAUUCUUUCUAUUGUUAUAAGUUCCUUUUUCUUUUAUUUGUUGUUUUACAACAUUUGACUGUAAAAUUAAAUUCAUAAUAUAUAAUAAAUAUAUAAAUGUAGAUCUGUUUACAUAUAACAACUAAAAACCUGCUGAGCUGAGAGCAGAAUAGAGAGCAAAGCAGCAGAACCUCGAUGACAUCAAACUCCUCUGAGGCCAUUUCCUCAUCGGCUCGAUGACAUCACUGAGCCACCGGCGGCCCUGAUUGGUCGACCGGUUCGUCCUGGUAAACAAGCUGAGAUGCAUUACUGGAGUGUGUGUGUGUGUGUGUGUGUGUGUGUGUGUGUGUGUGUGUGUGUGUGUGUGUGUGUGUGUGUGUGUGUGUGUGUGUGUGUGUGUGUGUGUGUGUGUGUGUGUGUGUGUGUGUGUGUGUGUGUAAGACCUUUGUCCGGUGAUGUUACCACAGAAAUCCAGAUUAUUGGCUGAUAAAGCGUCUCUGCUCUCACACUGAUCCUCUGAUUAUUUCAGUCUUUGUUCCUCCUAUUAUAAAAACAACAUGAAAGCCUGAACAUGGAGGGAAUAUUUACCCUUAAAAGACUAAAAUAAUCCAAACAGACUGAAAUAAAGACGAAUGACCUUAAUGUAAACAAGACUGGAGUGCAGUGGUUUCUACUGGAGACUGAAAUACUCGUAAAUUAUUCACUGGAAAGAAAAAUUAGUUUAAAAAAAAAAAAAAAAAAAAAAAGUUUAAAUAUGUGCCAGAAAAAAUAAGUCGAAAAAUGGUGGAAUUUCUCUGCAAAACACAGUGAAAAUUACUGCAAAACAUCUGUAAAAUAACAAUAGUUUUAGCUGAUCUAAAUACAGUAAAACUGUCAGAAAUUGUAAAAAGAUA